UCCUCAGGUCCAAAAUGCCUCAUGAUACUGGAGCGGUUGGCAAAAAGCUACGCUCCUUAUCAGUGUAAUUAUGGGGACUGGUCACCAGUUCCUGCUUGAGCUUUUCCAGAAGGAACUUCACCACUGAAAUAUUCCAAGAGGACUUGAUGCUGCCACAGAUGGAGGCAUUGUUUUAGAGCCAGCCAGACACAGCCAACAGUCAUCAAUUUAGUGUGAUCUCUACUUUGAGGCGGCAGCUCUUCCUGAGACGUCAGACCUGAGCAGCUCAUCUUCUGACCCCACGGCACACGGUGCUGCCUUUCCAGGCAUGGACGGCCUCCUCCGUCUUCUUGGUCUUCGUCUGGAAGCUGGGCUGAAACCUGUCCACCAUGGGUGACGCUGCUGGUAUUUAAAGUGCCAGUGGC